CCUUAUUUGAAUAUUAUUUCAAAAUUCUGCUGCUGAUGCAGUGGGGUGGCCUAGUCGAUAGGUUUAAAUAUUACUCAAGCGAUGCUGCUGCAUGUACUAUGAAUACAAGGCAUUUCAGUUGUAUUUUCCUCAAGAGACUCCUUAGAUAUUGAUCAGUGGAAUAAAGUUAUUGAGCAGCUUGGAACACCAUCAGCAGAGUUCAUGAAGAAACUUCAGCCAACUGUGAGGAAUUAUGUCGAAAACAGACCAAAGUAUCCUGGAAUCAAAUUCGAAGAACUCUUUCCAGAUUGGAUAUUCCCAUCAGAAUCUGAGCGAGACAAAAUAAAAACAAGUCAAGCCAGAGAUCUGUUAUCAAAAAUGUUAGUGAUUGAUCCUGACAAGCGGAUCUCUGUAGACGAAGCUCUGCGUCACCCAUACAUCACUGUUUGGUAUGACCCCGCUGAAGCAGAAGCCCCACCACCUCAAAUUUAUGAUGCCCAGUUGGAAGAAAGAGAACAUGCAAUUGAAGAAUGGAAAGAGCUAAUUUACAAAGAAGUCAUGGAUUGGGAAGAAAGAAGCAAGAAUGGUGUUGUAAAAGAUCAGCCUUCAGGUUAGUGAUUGCUUUAAUUGAUUGUAUGAUAUUUUUCUUUCCCUAUUCAACUUUUUUUUUUGAGACGGAGUUUCACUCUGUCGCCCAGGCUGGAGAGCAGUGGCGCGAUCUCUGCUCACUGCAACCUCCACCUCCUGGGUUCAAGCAGUUCUCCUGCCUCAGCCUCCCGAGUAGCUGGGACUACAGUCACACGCCACCAUGCCCUGCUAAUUUUUGUAUUUUUAGUAGAGACGGGGUUUCACCAUAUUGGCUAAGCUGGUCUCGAUCUCCUGACCUCGUGAUCCGCCCGCCUCAGCCUCCCAAAGUGGUGGGAUUACAGGCGUGAGCCACUGCACCUGGCCUCUUUCCUGAUUCAACUUUUAUAAAUGGCAGCAACAUGUGAAAUGCCAGCCUGGCUAGCAUCAGAUUUAAAAACCACUGUAUGAAUAGCCACCCUUUUUGGCUUGUCAUAGUGGUGGUGUUGGUGGUGGAUGACAUUUUACUGAUGUGCCAGGCACUGAACUUUGUUAUAAACAUUUCUCUUUCAUCUUUGCAAUAACUGCUGUCACCUCCAUUUACAGAUGAAGAAAUUGAAUUUAAAGCCUUUUCAAUGUUGAUAACCCUUUGUACUGGUUCCACCCAAAAUGCCAAUCUAAGUAAAAUGGAGUAUGGUAUUCUUUUGAGAAAAUUGUUGAUAUCAUUUUCCCAUUUUUCUGUUUGAUCUACUGAUCUUCAUAGUGGUGGAAGCCUCUAAUGACCAGGUAGUUGUAUGAUCAUGAGACUCUAAUAUGAGUCGUGUUCACUUACGUCUGAAGGAUUCUUCCUGUUUACUAAAUGAAACGCUCAUGUUAUAUCAUUGUCUCUCUCCCACUCCCACUGGGAAGCAUGCACACACAUGCGUGCAGAUGUGCAGAGAGCACAGCUUACUUUUUAUUCUUGAAUUUUAUGUUCAACAUGACGUAUGUGUCAAGCAUCUAGAGAUUAUAUAACUUCAGCAAGAACUUAAGUGCUUGUUAACUGAGCACACAUGUAUGACUGCAGACGUCGAUCUCAGAGAGUGCACAUUGUAUUUUUAUUCAAACCAGACUAAAAUAUGGAUAGUAGGAAGUAGGAUAGUUUCAUUUGCUUUAAAAGAUUAAAAUGUCAGUUUUCUGGAGUUAUAAAACAAUAAAAAAUACAAAGCCACUAAUUUUUUUCCUUUUUCUAGUAUAUAGUCUUUAUUUAUUGCAAAAGAUUUCUUUGAAUGUUGAUGCUUUUUUUUCUGUAGAUUUAGUGUUUACGUUAUAAAUUGUUACAAUUCAAGUGUCUGGUGACACUUGAAUCCUAUUCAGGCUCAAGCUUUUGUGAUACUGCGUUUUCAGAUAAAUACGGCUGUUUCCUUUUGGUGUCUGCUUGAAAGCAGCAGGUAUUUCUUAAGUAGCUAACAUGAUUACACAUGGCCACAUAUAUGUUUAGCUACUGAGAAAAAAAGAAGAAUCUUGCAAGGAAAGACACAGGAAUAUGGGACUCUUGGCCCAAAGAAAGACUCAAGGAAAAGUUCAGAAAGUCCAGCUGACUGACUUCUUGUUUAUACUCAUAGUUAGGAUUGGGAAACUGCAGAAGUACAGAGCCGAGAAAUGGCCUGAAGUCUCGUUGCCUGGAUUUGCAGCAAUGUCGUGCCUCAGAUUUUAUUAUAUUUGGUUUUCUUAGCACAGA
rnacentral:sRNA from 1 species